CCCCUCUCAUGCUUGUACCUGGAAAGUUUCCGGUACUCUACCAGUCUCGGCUACAGGAGGGAGAGUCAAGCAGAGGCCUAUCCAUUCCACUCCUAGCUUGGACUGCGGCUAGCGAGCGGAAGGCAAUCUGCUACAAGU